ensembl:lncRNA
CACACAUAAACACAAACACACACACACGCACAUCUACACACACACACCUACACACACACACACACACACACACACACACACACACACACACACACACACACACACACACACACACACACACACACACCUACACACACGAGCACACACCUACACAUACAAACCUACACACACACACUACACAAACACACAUACACAUACACCACACACCUACACACACCACAUACCUACACACACGUCUUUAGCGCCCUCUUGUGGUCAGCUUCUCACACUGCACUUUGUAACACGGGACUCCCAUGGGGUUAUGUGUGUGGUCCAUUAGUCUUAGAGGCGUUGCAC